UAAGGAUGGUUCUUCAGAAGCUUGCUACUUGUAGCUUGCCUUUAUCGAACCUCUUUUGAAACAUCAGGGGCCAACAGUUUCAGGAUUGUUGAGCUCCAUUGGCGGGAUUUCGCCGUCUUCGUUUCUCUUUCUUCGCGGACGAACACGCGCCAGGGGCUUGCGCUUGUGCGAUGCAUUGGCGUGAGCCGAUGCGCGCUCGCGCGGUCCCUCGUGUUAGGGGCUUGUAGCUCAGUUGGUUAGAGCGCGCGCUUGAUAAGCGUGAGGUCGGAAGUUCAAGUCUUCCCAGGCCCACCAGCCUUCGCUGCUGUGCAGCUUCGGCUCGGCAGGCCUUCUUGAACGAAGGCUGCUGCGCCGUAGCGCUAGCGAAGGCGAGCGCGCCGUAUGAGGCAUUCGUCUUCUGGUACGGGGCCAUAGCUCAGCUGGGAGAGCGCGUGCUUUGCAAGCAUGAGGUCGUCGGUUCGAUCCCGUCUGGCUCCACCAGAUGGUUUGAUCGACGCGAUCGCUUGCCUGAGACAAGGCUUCAAAACAAUUCGUCCGCGAAACAUCGCUUUGCAGCGGCUGUCCCAAUGGGAUGCCGUCUGCGGGAUUUCUGACAUCGUAAAGAGAAGAUCGAUCCGAGUUGGGUCGUGCAAGCAAUUGCGCGGCACUCCAUUAUCUCCGGAUCAUUUCGGCGCUCGCGCAUCGCAAGAUGGGUGAGUUGUAAAUGAUCUUUUUAGCGAAGCUUGACCGCCUCGCUAUCGGUUCGAUCUUACGAAGCAAGCUGGUCUUUCUAAUCAGUGUCCGGCCGCGCAUAGCAUUCAUCGAGGGUGCGUGCCUUAACAGGCAAUUGUGCGGACAACAUUCUGCCGAGUGUGUGGACAUUGAUAAUGAGAGCA
rnacentral:tRNA from 1 species